CUCAAAAUGACCUGCAGGCUCAAGCUCGGUUCGUCAUCGUUUUGGCCAGUCUAAGGCGGUGGAGGUGUACCGUCUGAUCACUAGAAACUAUGAGAGGGAAAUGCUGGAUAAAGCUAGUCUGAAGCUCGGGCUGGACCGUCCCGUCCUGCAGAGCAUGAGUGGCAACAACAACGGGCCGGUCCAGCAGUUCUCUAAGAAGGAGAUCGAGGACCUGCUGAGGAAAGGAGCCUACGCCGCCAUCAUGGACGAGAACGACGAAGGCAAUCGCUUCUGCUAGGAGGACAUCGACCAGAUCCUGCAGCGAAGAGCCACCAUCAUCACCAUCACCAGGUAUGUUCUUAGCAGCACUAGCCACUUGCGCUUUG